rnacentral:lncRNA from 1 species
GUGUGACUUUAAAGGCCUGUGUCCGUUGGUCGAGUUGGAGCCAGUAGCCGUGGCAUUUUAUAGAUUCCUAUUGGAAAGUGUGCCUAUGCAACAAAUAGGGGCAGACUUUUUAAGAGAAAUUGCUUCCUUUAUCUGCCACGAGUCAUAUUACACACACAAGGGAAAAUACUGCAAACAGCUAGAAGGCGUCCCAAUAGGAGGCCUGAUGGCAGGAAUGCUAACAGAAGUGGUGCUGGGACGGGUUGAGGGGGGCAUUGUUGGAAUGUUUGGAGGAUCCAUGGGUCUAUAUAUCAGAUAUGUGAGCGAUAUCUUGGUGAUAUGGGAGGAGGGAAGAACAAAAGAACU